AGAGUUUGAUCCUGGCUCAGGAUGAACGCUGGCGGCGUGCCUAAUACAUGCAAGUCGAGCGAACGGACGAGAAGCUUGCUUCUCUGAUGUUAGCGGCGGACGGGUGAGUAACACGUGGAUAACCUACCUAUAAGACUGGGAUAACUUCGGGAAACCGGAGCUAAUACCGGAUAAUAUUUUGAACCGCAUGGUUCAAAAGUGAAAGACGGUCUUGCUGUCACUUAUAGAUGGAUCCGCGCUGCAUUAGCUAGUUGGUAAGGUAACGGCUUACCAAGGCAACGAUGCAUAGCCGACCUGAGAGGGUGAUCGGCCACACUGGAACUGAGACACGGUCCAGACUCCUACGGGAGGCAGCAGUAGGGAAUCUUCCGCAAUGGGCGAAAGCCUGACGGAGCAACGCCGCGUGAGUGAUGAAGGUCUUCGGAUCGUAAAACUCUGUUAUUAGGGAAGAACAUAUGUGUAAGUAACUGUGCACAUCUUGACGGUACCUAAUCAGAAAGCCACGGCUAACUACGUGCCUGCAGCCGCGGUAAUACGUAGGUGGCAAGCGUUAUCCGGAAUUAUUGGGCGUAAAGCGCGCGUAGGCGGUUUUUUAAGUCUGAUGUGAAAGCCCACGGCUCAACCGUGGAGGGUCAUUGGAAACUGGAAAACUUGAGUGCAGAAGAGGAAAGUGGAAUUCCAUGUGUAGCGGUGAAAUGCGCAGAGAUAUGGAGGAACACCAGUGGCGAAGGCGACUUUCUGGUCUGUAACUGACGCUGAUGUGCGAAAGCGUGGGGAUCAAACAGGAUUAGAUACCCUGGUAGUCCACGCCGUAAACGAUGAGUGCUAAGUGUUAGGGGGUUUCCGCCCCUUAGUGCUGCAGCUAACGCAUUAAGCACUCCGCCUGGGGAGUACGACCGCAAGGUUGAAACUCAAAGGAAUUGACGGGGACCCGCACAAGCGGUGGAGCAUGUGGUUUAAUUCGAAGCAACGCGAAGAACCUUACCAAAUCUUGACAUCCUUUGACAACUCUAGAGAUAGAGCCUUCCUCUUCGGGGGACAAAGUGACAGGUGGUGCAUGGUUGUCGUCAGCUCGUGUCGUGAGAUGUUGGGUUAAGUCCCGCAACGAGCGCAACCCUUAAGCUUAGUUGCCAUCAUUAAGUUGGGCACUCUAAGUUGACUGCCGGUGACAAACCGGAGGAAGGUGGGGAUGACGUCAAAUCAUCAUGCCCCUUAUGAUUUGGGCUACACACGUGCUACAAUGGACAAUACAAAGGGCAGCGAAACCGCGAGGUCAAGCAAAUCCCAUAAAGUUGUUCUCAGUUCGGAUUGUAGUCUGCAACUCGACUACAUGAAGCUGGAAUCGCUAGUAAUCGUAGAUCAGCAUGCUACGGUGAAUACGUUCCCGGGUCUUGUACACACCGCCCGUCACACCACGAGAGUUUGUAACACCCGAAGCCGGUGGAGUAACCUUUUAGGAGCUAGCCGUCGAAGGUGGGACAAAUGAUUGGGGUGAAGUCGUAACAAGGUAGCCGUAUCGGAAGGUGCGGCUGGAUCACCU
rnacentral:rRNA from 1 species